rnacentral:rRNA from 1 species
AUGCGGAAGGAUCAUUACAGAAUGAAAAGUGCUUAACUGCAUUUUUUCUUACACAUGUGUUUUUCUUUUUUUGAAAACUUUGCUUUGGUAGGCCUUCUAUAUGGGGCCUGCCAGAGAUUAAACUCAACCAAAUUUUAUUUAAUGUCAACCGAUUAUUUAAUAGUCAAAACUUUCAACAACGGAUCUCUUGGUUCUCGCAUCGAUGAAGAACGCAGCGAAAUGCGAUAAGUAAUAUGAAUUGCAGAUAUUCGUGAAUCAUCGAAUCUUUGAACGCACAUUGCGCCCUUUGGUAUUCCAAAGGGCAUGCCUGUUUGAGCGUCAUUUCUCCCUCAAACCCUCGGGUUUGGUGUUGAGCGAUACGCUGGGUUUGCUUGAAAGAAAGGCGGAGUAUAAACUAAUGGAUAGGUUUUUUCCACUCAUUGGUACAAACUCCAAAACUUCUUCCAAAUUCGACCUCAAAUCAGGUAGGACUACCCGCUGAACUUAAGCAUAUCAAA